ACGAACGCUGGCGGCGUGCUUAACACAUGCAAGUCGAACGGAAAGGCCCUGCUUUUGUGGGGUGCUCGCGUGGCGAACGGGUGAGUAACACGUGAGUAACCUGCCCUUGACUUUGGGAUAACUUCAGGAAACUGGGGCUAAUACCGGAUAGGAGCUCCUGCUGCAUGGUGGGGGUUGGAAAGUUUCGGCGGUUGGGGAUGGACGCGCGGCUUAUCAGCUUGUUGGUGGGGUAGUGGCUUACCCAGGCAUUGACGGGUAGCCGGCCUGAGAGGGGGACCUGCCACAUUGGGACGGAGAUACGGCCCAGUGUCCGAUGUGAGACAGCAGUGGGGAAUAUUGCACAAUGGGCGGAAGCCUGAGGCAGCAACGUUGCGUUCGGGAUGACGGCUUUUGGGGUGUAAACCGCUUUCGCCUGUGACGAAGCGUUACUGACGGUAAUGGGUAAAGAAGCACCGGCUAACUACGUG
rnacentral:rRNA from 1 species